GAAUUGCGUGAGGGAUAGAGGCGGUAUCCUUUUAUUAGCGAAGCGCCGUAAAAGAUAUAGCCGAAAGCCCGACCCAGA
rnacentral:sRNA from 1 species